UACGUAGGUGACCAGCGUUGUCCGGAUUUACUGGGCGUAAAGAGCGCGCAGGCGGUCGUUCAAGUCGAGUGUGAAAGCCCCCGGCUCAACUGGGGAGGGUCACUCGAUACUGAUCGACUUGAAGGCAGGAGAGGGAAGCGGAAUUCCCGGUGUAGUGGUGAAAUGCGUAGAUAUCGGGAGGAACACCAGUGGCGAAGGCGGCUUCCUGGCCUGUUCUUGACGCUGAGGCGCGAAAGCUAGGGGAGCCAAACGGG
rnacentral:rRNA from 1 species